UACGUAGGGGGCAAGCGUUUGUCCGGAUUUAUUGGGCGUAAAGAGCGUGUAGGCGGCUAGGUAGGUCCGUUGUGAAAACUCGAGGCUCAACCCUCGAGACGUCGAUGGAACCAUCUGGCUAGAGUCCGGAAGAGGAGAGUGGAAUUCCUGGUGUAGCGGUGAAAUGCGUAGAUAUCUGGAGGAACACCGGUGGCGAAGGCGGCAUCCUGGACCAACACUGACACUGAGGAGCGAAGCCAGGG
rnacentral:rRNA from 1 species